rnacentral:rRNA from 1 species
AACGAACGCUGGCGGCAUGCCUAACACAUGCAAGUCGAACGAACCCUUCGGGGUUAGUGGCGCACGGGUGCGUAACACGUGGGAAUCUGCCCUUUGCUUCGGAAUAACAGUUAGAAAUGACUGCUAAUACCGGAUGAUGUCGAAAGACCAAAGAUUUAUCGGCAAAGGAUGAGCCCGCGUAGGAUUAGCUAGUUGGUGGGGUAAUGGCCUACCAAGGCGACGAUCCUUAGCUGGUAUGAGAGGAUGAUCAGCCACACUGGGACUGAGACACGGCCCAGACUCCUACGGGAGGCAGCAGUGGGGAAUAUUGGAGAAUGGGCGAAAGCCUGAUCCAGCAAUGCCGCGUGAGUGAUGAAGGCCUUCGGGUUGUAAAGCUCUUUUACCAGGGAUGAUAAUGACAGUACCUGGAGAAUAAGCUCCGGCUAACUCCGUGCCAGCCGCCGCCGUAA